CAGCAGCCGCGGUAAUACGGAGGGUGCAAGCGUUAAUCGGAAUUACUGGGCGUAAAGCGCACGCAGGCGGUCUGUCAAGUCAGAUGUGAAAUCCCCGGGCUUAACCUGGGAACUGCAUUUGAAACUGGCAGGCUAGAGUCUUGUAGAGGGGGGUAGAAUUCCACGUGUAGCGGUGAAAUGCGUAGAGAUGUGGAGGAACACCGAUGGCGAAGGCAGCCCCCUGGGCCAAUACUGACGCUCAUGCACGAAAGCGUGGGGAGCAAACAGGAUUAGAUACCCGCGUAGUCCCUGUCUCUUAUAC
rnacentral:rRNA from 1 species